rnacentral:rRNA from 1 species
GUAGGGAAUAUUGCGCAAUGGGGGAAACCCUGACGCAGCGACGCCGCGUGAGUGAUGAAGGCCUUCGGGUCGUAAAGCUCUGUUGCAGGGGAAUAAAAAAAUGAAGGUACCCUGUGAGGAAGGAUCGGCUAACUUCGUGCCAGCAGCCGCGGUAAGACGAGGGAUCCUAGCGUUGCUCGGAAUCAUUGGGCGUAAAGAGGGCGUAGGUGGCUUGGUAAGUCAGGUGUGAAAGCCCAGGGCUCAACCCUGGAAGUGCAUUUGAUACUGCUGGGCUUGAGUGUCGGAGAGGUUACCGGAAUACCUGGUGUAGUGGUGAAAUACGUAGAUAUCAGGUGGAACACCGGAGGCGAAGGCGGGUAACUGGACGAACACUGACACUGAGGCCCGAAAGCGUGGGGAUCAAACAGGAUUAGAAACCCUUGUAGUCC